CCUACGGGUGACAGCAGUGAGGAAUAUUGGUCAAUGGGCGAGAGCCUGAACCAGCCAAGUAGCGUGAAGGAUGACUGCCCUACGGGUUGUAAACUUCUUUUAUAGGGGAAUAAAAUGUGGCACGUGUGCCUUUUUGUAUGUACCUUAUGAAUAAUGAUCGGCUAACUCCGUGCCAGCAGCCCCGGUAAUACGGAGGAUCCCAGCGUUUUCCGGAUUUAUUGGGGUUAAAGGGAGCGUAGAUGGGUUGUUAAGUCAGUUGUGAAAGUUUGCGGCUCAACCGUAAAAUUGCAGUUGAAACUGGCAGUCUUGAGUACAGUAGAGGUAGGCGGAAUUCGUGGUGUAGCGGUGAAAUGCUUAGAUAUCACGAAGAACUCCGAUUGCGAAGGCAGCUUACUGGACUGCCACUGACACUGAGGCUCGAAAGUGUGGGUAUCAAACAGGAUUAGAUACCCUUGUAGUC
rnacentral:rRNA from 1 species